rnacentral:rRNA from 1 species
CUAAUAGAUGAGCCUAAGUCGGAUUAGCUAGUUGGUGGGGUAAAGGCCUACCAAGGCGACGAUCUGUAGCGGGUCUGAGAGGAUGAUCCGCCACACUGGGACUGAGACACGGCCCAGACUCCUACGGGAGGCAGCAGUGGGGAAUAUUGGACAAUGGGGGGAACCCUGAUCCAGCCAUGCCGCGUGUGUGAAGAAGGCCUUAUGGUUGUAAAGCACUUUAAGCGAGGAGGAGGCUACUUUAGUUAAUACCUAGAGAUAGUGGACGUUACUCGCAGAAUAAGCACCGGCUAACUCUGUGCCAGCAGCCGCGGUAAUACAGAGGGUGCGAGCGUUAAUCGGAUUUACUGGGCGUAAAGCGUGCGUAGGCGGCUUAUUAAGUCGGAUGUGAAAUCCCCGAGCUUAACUUGGGAAUUGCAUUCGAUACUGGUGAGCUAGAGUAUGGGAGAGGAUGGUAGAAUUCCAGGUGUAGCGGUGAAAUGCGUAGAGAUCUGGAGGAAUACCGAUGGCGAAGGCAGCCAUCUGGCCUGAUACUGACGCUGAGGUACGAAAGCAUGGGGAGCAAACAGGAUUAGAUACCCUGGUAGUCCAUGCCGUAAACGAUGUCUACUAGCCGUUGGGGCCUUUGAGGCUUUAGUGGCGCAGCUAACGCGAUAAGUAGACCGCCUGGGGAGUACGGUCGCAAGACUAAAACUCAAAUGAAUUGACGGGGGCCCGCACAAGCGGUGGAGCAUGUGGUUUAAUUCGAUGCAACGCGAAGAACCUUACCUGGCCUUGACAUACUAGAAACUUUCCAGAGAUGGAUUGGUGCCUUCGGGAAUCUAGAUACAGGUGCUGCAUGGCUGUCGUCAGCUCGUGUCGCGAGAUGUUGGGUUAAGUCCCGCAACGAGCGCAACCCUUUUCCUUACUUGCCAGCAUUUCGGAUGGGAACUUUAAGGAUACUGCCAGUGACAAACUGGAGGAAGGCGGGGACGACGUCAAGUCAUCAUGGCCCUUACGGCCAGGGCUACACACGUGCUACAACGGUCGGUACAAAGGGUUGCUACACAGCGAUGUGAUGCUAAUCUCAAAAAGCCGAUCGUAGUCCGGAUUGGAGUCUGCAACUCGACUCCAUGAAGUCGGAAUCGCUAGUAAUCGCGGAUCAGAAUGCCGCGGUGAAUACGUUCCCGGGCCUUGUACACACCGCCCGUCACACCAUGGGAGUUUGUUGCACCAGAAGUAGCUAGCCUAACUGCAAAGAGGGCGGUUACCACGGUGUGGCCGAUGACUGGGGUG